rnacentral:rRNA from 1 species
CUGCCCCGCACCCCGGGACAACCGCCGGAAACGGCGGCUAAUACCGGAUACUCCGGGCCUCGCGCAUGCGCGGCCCGGGAAAGCCCAGACGGUGCGGGAUGGGGUCGCGGCCCAUUAGGUAGUAGGCGGGGCAACGGCCCACCUAGCCUGCGAUGGGUAGCCGGCCUGAGAGGGCGAUCGGCCACAUUGGGACUGAGAUACGGCCCAGACUCCUACGGGAGGCAGCAGUGGGGAAUAUUGCGCAAUGGGGGCAACCCUGACGCAGCAACGCCGCGUGCGGGACGAAGGCCUUCGGGUUGUAAACCGCUUUCAGCAGGGAAGAACCAUGACGGUACCUGCAGAAGAAGCCCCGGCUAACUACGUGCCAGCAGCCGCGGUAAUACGUAGGGGGCGAGCGUUAUCCGGAUUCAUUGGGCGUAAAGCGCGCGUAGGCGGCCCGCUAAGCGGGACCUCUAACCUGGGGGCUCAACCUCCAGCCGGGUCCCGAACUGGCGAGCUCGAGUGCGGUAGGGGCAGGCGGAAUUCCCGGUGUAGCGGUGGAAUGCGCAGAUAUCGGGAAGAACACCGAUGGCGAAGGCAGCCUGCUGGGCCGACACUGACGCUGAGGCGCGAAAGCU